UUUGUUUCUGCCCCCAUGGCUCCUACCCCUGUUUUUGUGGGUGCAAUUUUCAGAUAGAACAUUUUUACACAAGCUUCAAAACUCUCUGAGGACAGCUUUCCCCUUUGCGUCUGUCGGGUCCCAGGCAGUCACAUCCCAGGAAGUGCUGGGGUUGGGCUCCUUGCUCCACAUCCUUCUUCAGUGGCACGAAGCGUGGGGUGGAGUGUGUGAGUCAUGUGUGAUCUUGGUGUGGGCUAUGGCUGGUCUGCAGCACCCCUUCAAUGACUGCUUCAAGGGCUUUUCAUGAUGCUUGUAGCUCAUGAGCUAGUGUUUCCUAGACGCUGUUUCCAGGUGUCUUGCAUGUCACACACUGGCCUACCAGGGCUGGAGUGAGAUCAUGAGCGCCAGAUUGUUGGUGAAGGAAGUUGACAGAGACAUCGAAUGUCGGUGAACAGGAGUGACCUUGGGUCUCAAUAAAUACUGUGGUCUACUGAAUCCAGAACCCACCCUUACCAGCAGGGCCCACUUCUUCCCCAGCAGGCCGAGCUCUUCCCCUCCUGUCUUCCCUGGCCCUUGCUUUGUAGCUCUGUGUGGCUGUGUCAUGUCUGGUUGUAUCUGUGUAUACUUCUGCCUCUCCCGCUAUCUAGAUGGCUCGGGGAGGCACACCACACACCAGGUCACCUUCCUCUCUGAACCCCCAGCACCUCAUACUGUUUCUGUGCAGAGAUAAGGCUGGGUGAAAGCUUGUGUGAAUGAUCUGAAGUCUUCUACUCUAGGCCAGUCUCCAGGAGCAUUAUGAUCUUUAGGAGGGUGGGCUUGGUUCCUCUGUACAAUAAUGGGUCAUAAAACUGAGUGGUCAAGAUCAUCCCGGUGAGGGCAGUCCGUGUGUUGCCAUAGUUGCUGUACCGGUUAAGAAUGCACCUGGCUGCAAUUUCCUGAAAACCUGACGUAUAGUGGCUUAAACAAAGAGUGGUUUAUUUUCCUUCUGUCAUAGCAAUCUGGGGGAGGCCACUGUGGCUUUGGCGCAGGAGGUCGGGAAAGGCCCGCUUCUCUGAUAUCACUGGGGGCCUCCCCAGUGCUUGUGUGGCAGAAUGACAAGAGGAAGAAGAAGGAGAAUUAUGGCACUGAGUAUCAUGAGAUUUGGGGUCAUAUAUCUUUAGUGGGCGGUGUUUGCUGCCCCAAAUGUCUCAUGCCAUUAAAAUGUUCUGGAAAUGAUUUAGGUAGUUGGAGUUUCCUUCCCAAAGACAAGGCAUUUACAGCAUGAUGUCCAAUAUCCAUUGAGUUUGUGUCAUGCAUUCAUUGUAUUCAUAGUCUGCUUUAGGUACUUAGCAAAAUAUUGCUGAUAUUAACAUGCCUUUGUUUGCUUCACUGGAGAUGAAAUUGUGCUCCAAGUGUUUUCCAAGGUUCCGUAUGACCCAUCAUUUGAUGAAACAAGAACAGCAGUCAGAUCCAUUACAAAGAGAGACACACAAAAAAGCUCUUCCCAACAAAAGAGCUUGAACAAUGCUGCAUUUGCCUCAGGUUCAAAUGAGCGAGAGGAACAUUUGGCUAAAAUAUUUGGAACCAGCGUUGCUUGGAAUUCUCCUAAACCAGAAUAUUUCCUUGGCAGUGUGGACAAAAUUCCUGAUAAAGAUCACCUUUCAGAGGAGAAGAAUUUUAAAGAAUCCUGUCUGUUCCACAGGGAUUUAAGAGAGCAGUUAACUACUGUAGAUAAAGAAACACUUCAAGGAGCAGCUAAACCAGGUGGGAAUCUGUAUGGCCUAUAAACUAAGUAUGAUGCUUAAAUACG
rnacentral:lncRNA from 1 species